GAUGAACGCUAGCGGCAGGCUUAAUACAUGCAAGUCGUGGGGCAGCAGGGUUGUAGCAAUACAAUCGCUGGCGACCGGCAAACGGGUGCGUAACACGUACGCAACCUUCCCGUUACUGUGGCAUAGCCCAGGGAAACUUGGAUUAAUACCACAUAUUAUAUUGAGGGGGCAUCCCUUUGAUAUCAAAGCUUCGGCGGUAACGGAUGGGCGUGCGGUUGAUUAGGUAGUUGGCGGGGUAACGGCCCACCAAGCCUACGAUCAAUAGCUGAUGUGAGAGCAUGAUCAGCCACACGGGCACUGAGACACGGGCCCGACUCCUACGGGAGGCAGCAGUAAGGAAUAUUGGGCAAUGGACGAAAGUCUGACCCAGCCAUGCCGCGUGAAGGAUUAAGGUCCUCUGGAUUGUAAACUUCUUUUCUCUGGGGCGAAAACCAGCUAUUCUUAGCUAUUUGACAGUACCAGAGGAAUAAGCACCGGCUAACUCCGUGCCAGCCGCCGCAGUAACAC
rnacentral:rRNA from 1 species